rnacentral:rRNA from 1 species
UACGAAGGGGGCUAGCGUUGUUCGGAAUUACUGGGCGUAAAGCGCGCGCAGGCGGUUCUUCAAGUCAGUGGUGAAAGCCCGGAGCUCAACUCCGGAAUUGCCAUUGAAACUGUAGAACUUGAGGAUGAGAGAGGUGAGUGGAAUUCCCAGUGUAGAGGUGAAAUUCGUAGAUAUUGGGAAGAACACCGGUGGCGAAGGCGGCUCACUGGCUCAUUUCUGACGCUCAGGCGCGACAGCGUGGGGAUCGAAACAAGG